AGAACGAACGCUGGCGGCAUGCCUAAUACAUGCAAGUCGAACGAACACUUCGGUGUUAGUGGCGCACGGGUGCGUAACGCGUGGGAAUCUGCCCUUGGGUUCGGAAUAACAGUUGGAAACGACUGCUAAUACCGGAUGAUGACGAAAGUCCAAAGAUUUAUCGCCCAGGGAUGAGCCCGCGUAGGAUUAGCUAGUUGGUGAGGUAAAGGCUCACCAAGGCGACGAUCCUUAGCUGGUCUGAGAGGAUGAUCAGCCACACUGGGACUGAGACACGGCCCAGACUCCUACGGGAGGCAGCAGUAGGGAAUAUUGGACAAUGGGCGCAAGCCUGAUCCAGCAAUGCCGCGUGAGUGAUGAAGGCCUUAGGGUUGUAAGCUCUUUACCCGAGAUGAUAAUGACUAGUAGUCGGAGAAGUAACGCCCCGACUAACGUCCGUGCCAGCACGCCGC
rnacentral:rRNA from 1 species